UUCUAGCCUAUCUAAGGGCUUUGGAGAGCAAAAGCAAAAGAUUAACUAACUGCUCACAUGGGUCCCAGGAAAAUACAAAAGCACUACUGUUUAACAGGAAAGUUACUAUCCAGAAAUUAACCCACAAAGGUGGGAAGAGUAUUUACCCGCUAAUCUCUUUAUUCCCUCGCCUGACAAAAUAUCUGCAUUCCUGGGCGGCCUCAAGAAAUGAACUACAGACAUCUAUUCCCUUUGUGAUACCUCCUUGGAAUCAAAGUGUGGAGUGUAACAAUGUGCCUCCACACACUCACACUAGUUGAUGCUUCAUCUUGGUGAAAUCAAGUUUUUGGAAUUACCUUUCCUAAGAUCAUUCUAUUCACAGAGAAGGAGCUUAAUGAAACUAUGGUGGAUGUAUUCUAGACAGAAGAAGGAUUAAACCAAGAUAAAAACAAUGUGAAUGAGGAAAGUGGGAGUAACAGGGAUUCCAAGAGAAAGAAGGAGAACUGGUAAUUGAUGUGGGGCCAAACAGCACAGUACAGCAGAAAGGAUCUAAAUUUGGGAAUUAUACUGAGAUUUUCCAUUUGUCAAAAAUGAGGAGUACUAAUCAGUAGUGCUAUGGAAACAAGACACUAACAGUUAUAGUCCGGAAGAAGAGAUGAUAACAUCUGUCCCUAAAAAGAGAUGCUGUGAGAAUGGGUAGCCAUCGAAAGCAAUUCUGUUCAUCAGACAAGAGUUCUUGCUAUUUACACCACAUCUGCAGUGACUUCCUCCACUGAAGUAUUGAACCUUUAAAGUCAUCCAUGAAGGUUGAAAUCAACUUCUUCCAAACUCCUCAUAGGAUUGAUAUUUUGACCUCCUCCCAUAAACGACAAAUUUUCUGAAUGUCAUCUAAAAUGGCAAUUUUUUUCCAGAAGGUUUUCAACUUUGCCCAGAUCCAUUAGAGGAAUCACUGUAGCAGUUAUAUCCUUAAUAAAUGUAUUUGUAAAAUAAUAAUACUUGAAAGUCAAAAUUACUCCUUAACUGUGGGCUACAGGAUAGAUGUUGUGUUAGCAGUCAUGAAAAAAACAUUAAUCUCCUUGAACAUCUUCAUCAGAGCUCUUGGGUAACCAGGUGCAUUGUCAGUGACCAGGAAUAUUUUGAAAGGAAUUUCAAAAGGUCUCAACAGUAAGGCUUAAAAUAUUCAAUAAACCAUACUGUAAACAGAUGUGUUGUCAUCUAGGCUUUGUUAUUUCAUUUCUAGAACAAAUGCAGAGUAUAUUUAGCAUAAUUCUUAAGGACCCCAGUAUUUUCAGAAGGGCUAAUGUGUAUCGUCUUCAUCUUAAAGCCACCAACUGUAUUAGCUCCUAAAAAGAGAGUCAGCCUGUUCUUUGAAGCUUUGAAGCUAGGCAUUGACUUCUUCUCUCUAGCUACAAAAGUUCUAGAGGGCAUCUUCUUCCAAUAGAAGGCAUUUUGGUCUACAUUAGAAAUCUGUUGUUUAGUGUAGCCAUGUUCAUCAAUUAUCUUAGGCAGGAGAACUUCAGCUGGAGAACUUGCUGUAGCUUCUUGCACUUGCUUCACUUGCACUUUUAGGUUGGAGACGGUUUUAUAAAGAUAAUUUAUUUUCUUAAAUCCCAUGAAUCAACACCUACUAGCUUUAAACUUUUCUCUUCAGCUUCCUCACCACUCUCAGACUUCAUAGAAUUGAAGAGGUUAAGGCCUUGUUCUGGAUUAAGCUUUGGCUUAAGGAAAUGUUGUGGCUGAUUUGAUCAUUUUUAUUCAGACCACUCAAAAUUUCUCCAUUAAGCCAUAGGCUGUUUUGCUUUCUUAUAAUUUGUGUGUUCACUGGAGUCACACUUUUAUUUUUUAGAGACAAGUUCUUGCUCUAUUGCCCAGGCUGCAGUGCAGUGACACAAUCAUAGCUCACUGCAACCUUGAACUCCUGGGCUCAAGUGAUCCUCCUGCCUCAGCCUCCCAGGUAGCUGGGACUAUAGACAUGCACCACCAUACUUGGCUUAUUUUUUUUAAAUAAGUCUUCACUAUGUUGCCCAGGCUGGUCUUGAACUCCUGGUCUCAAGGAAUUUCCCCACCUUAGCCUCCCAAAACUCUAGGAUUACAGGCAUAAGCCACCACACCUGUCCUGGAGUAGCACUUUUAAUUUCCAUCAAGAACUUUUCCCUUGCAUCCACAACUUGGCUACUUGUUGCAAGAGGCCUAGCUUUCAGCCUAUCCUGACUUUCAACAUGCCUUCCUCACUAAGCUUAGUCAUUUCUAGCUUUUGAUUUAAAGUGAGAGCCAUGUGGCUCUUCCUUUCACUUGAACACUUCGAGUCCAUUGUAGAGCUAUUAAUUGCCCUAAUUUUUUUAUUGUUGUUUUAAUAUUUGCUACUACCACCAAGAUCUGCGCCUGCAGUGGCUCCACCCAGGCCCAUGUUCUAUUAAGGGACAUUGCAAUGGCCCUUCUACUCAUCUUGGCAUAGUGUCUUUAGGCUUGGGAGAUCUGAGCACUGCUCUGUCCUUCCUGCUCUAGUCCCUCUACUAGCAAUGGCUGCAUAUUGGCUCAACUCCUCAGCACCAUCCAUUUUCAGGGACAGUUGAGUAGUCAGUUGAGUUGUUAUACACUCCUUAGUGGAUUCUGACUUCCAUGGUCACUGUACUGUUGUAUAAUCAACUAUCCUAAUUUCAACAUUGUUGUGUCUCAGGGAAUAGGGAGGCCUGAAGUUAAGGAGAGACAUGGAGCAAUGAUCAAUCAGUUGAGCAAUCAAAACACACACAACAAUUAUCAAUGAAGUUUACUGUCUUAUAUGGGCAUGUUUUCUGGUGCCACAAAACAAUUACAAUAGUAACAUCAAAGGUCACUGAUCACAAAUCACCGUAACAGAUAUAAUAAUAGUGGAAGUUUGAAAUAUUGCAAGAAUUACCAAAAUGUGUCACAAAGACCUGAUGGACUUGCUAGAGGCAAGGCUGCCAAAAACUUUCAAUUUGUUAAAUAUGCAAAAUCUGCAUGGUAAAAUAAAGCAUAGCACAAUAAAAAGAAAUAUGCAUGUAUACACUAUUUAUAAUGUAUAUCCCUACAUAUAAUAUAUAUCAAUAUAUAAUAAAUGUACGUAUUGUUACAUAUUUGCAAAUAUAUAUGGUGAAAUAUAUCCAUGAGUUGCCAAAUCUGUUUUCACAACAUUAUGAACCUUCAAAAACAUGCCCAGCAAGGAGUCAUGAUGGCUGUGCAUACCCACGAACAGGGUUGAUUAGAAACAACUGUUUCAUUUACACAACACUGGGUCAUAUGACAAAUAAAUAACAGCAACCUGCCUAUUUUUAAAAUUUUGACAUCUUGCUUCUCAUGAAUUUUUUUAAUUUUUGAUUUUUUAAAUUCAUUGCCUUAACUAUUAUUUAGCCUGAUUACUGAGUUUUUGGCACCACUUUUAAAAAAAUAACUCAUUUAUUUUGAAAUGAUUUUCAUUGUAUAUAUUUAUGGGGUACAACAUGACUUUUUCAUAUAUGUAUACAUAAUGGAACAAUUAAUCAAAGUAAAUAACAUAUCUUCACCUCAUAAACAUCUUUUCUGUGGUUAGAACAUUUAAAAUCUACUUUCUUAGCACUUUUCAAGUAUGUAGCACAUUAUUAUUAACUAUAGUCACUCUGCUGUAUAACAAAAUAAAUGUCCAGAACUUAAUCAUCUUGUUUAACUGAAUCUUUCUAUAUUUUGACAAACAUCUGUCCUUGUUCCCAGCCUAUGAAAAGAAUACCCUACUCUUUUGAGUUCAACUUUUUCAGAUUCUACAUAAAAGUGAGAUCAUACAGUAUUUUUUUCUGUGCCUAGCUUAUUUUACUUAGCAUAAUAUCCUGCAGAUACAUCCAUAGUAUCUCAAAUAGCAAGAUACCCUUUUUUCUAAGGCUGAAUCUUAUUCCAUUGUGUGUAUCCGUCCCAUUUUCUUUAUCCAUUCAUCCAUCAAGAGAUAUUAUUUUAUUGUCAUAUCUUGGCUAUGAAUAAUAGUUCGCUAUUAAGAAUAAUGCUGCAAUGAACAUGAGGCUGUAGAUACCUCUGUGACAUAACUGAUUUCAUUUCCUUUGGAUAUACACACAGAAGUGGAAUUGCUGGAUUAUGUGGUAGUUUUAUUUUUAAUUUUUGAGAAACCUCCAUACUACUUUUCAUAAUGGCUAUACUAAUUUACAUUCCCACAAACAGUGUGCAAGGGUUCCCUUUUCUCUACAUAUUUGCCAAUAUUUGUCUUUUGUAUUUUAAUAAAUGCUAUUCUCACAGGUGUGAAGUGAUAGCUCAUUCACACCUGUGAAUUUGCAUUCCCCUGAUGAUUAGUGAUGUGAAAUAUUUUUUUUUUUGUAUACUUAUUGGCCUUUUGAUUCUCUUCUUUUGAAAAAUAUUUAUUAAAGUUCUGUGCCCAUUUUUUAAUCAGUUUGUUUGUUUUCUUGCAUAGAGUUGAGUUCCUUAUAUAUUUUUUAAAUUAACCCUUUAUCAAAUAUAUUGUUGGUAUAGUUUGAAUAUUUGUCCCCACCCAAAUUUCAUGUUGAAAUGUAAUCCCAGUGUUGGAGUUGGACCCUGGUAGCAGGUGUUUGGAUCAUUGGGGAGGAUCCCUCAUGAAUGGCUUGGGCCGUCUCUUUGGUGAUAAGUGAGUUCUGGCUCUGAGUUCACAUAAGAUCUGGUCAUUUACAACUGUACAACAGCUCCUGGCUACUCUUUCUCUCACUUGCCACUGCCGUAUGGUGUUCCUACUCCCCCUUUGCCUUCCACCAUGAUUGUAAGCUUCCUGAAGCCUCCCCAGAGGCUGAGCAGAUACCAGCACCAGGCUUCCUGUAAAGCCUGCAGAACUGUGAGCCAAUUAAAUCCUUUUUCUUUAUAAAUUACCCAGUCUCAGACAUUUCUUUAGAUCAAUGUGAGUGAGCUAAUACAAUGGUUUACAAAUACUUUCUCUUGUUAAACAGGUUGUCUCAUGAAUAGCUUGUUGAAUGUUUCCUUUGGUGUGCAGAAGCUCUUUAGUUUGAUGUAAUCCCAUUGCUUUAUUUUUCCUUUUGCUGUCUGUGCUUUUGUGAUAAUAUUCAAUAAAUCUUUGCUAAUACCAAUAUCAUGGAGCUUUUCCUCUAGUUUUUG
rnacentral:lncRNA from 1 species